rnacentral:lncRNA from 10 species
AGGGCUUCCCCGGCUCCCGAGCUCCGAGCUUCCACCACAUCGGCCGGCUCAGGACAGGGCUUCCACUGUAAAGUCGGCUGCCAGACGUGUUGGAGCUCACCGAACCCAGAGUUGAUCUCUGCAGCAUGCCAUCACUGCUGGGGAUGAGGAAACGGUGAUUUCAGGACUGUUUUUUCUGUCUCUUCAGUGCCUCUUUCAGUGAUCUGAGGUUAAAACCAGACUAUGGAGGAUUCAUCAACAGACCAGGAAGCAACAGCCUGGGCUCCAGAAUUGACCAGUAGUCCGUGCACAGACGAGGAGAGGUCCCAUGAAACUUCGGCGCAGUCUGGGAACCGAGCUCUUUUUGUAACAAGUUGUUUGUCAGGAGGCCCGGUCAUGAAAGCCCUUCCUGACUGGGCUCAAGGAAUACAAAAAGGACAACUUGUUUUUGCCAUUGUCUGUUGUUUUUCAAUAACUAGUUCUCCGAAACAGCACUGGAUGAAUGCCUCAAGGGGCUCACACAACUCGUUCCAGGACUUAGUGACCAUUGUUUCUGUCCCUGUUCAAUAGAGUUCAAAUUUAAUAUUUAAAUUUUGCUCCACAAUGUGCCAUAUUAUCUGUAUCCAACCUGUCAUUGGGCAUUUAGGUUGAUUCCAUGUCUUUACUAUUGUGAAUAAUGCUGCAAUAAACAUUUACGUGCUUGUGUCUUUAUGAUAGAACAAUUUAUAUACCUCUGGGUAUAUACCCAGUAAUGAGAUUGCUGGGUCAAGUGAUAGUUCUGCUUUUAUCUCUUUCGAGGAGAGCACUGUUGUGCUUUCCACAAUGGUGGGACCAAUGUACACUCCCAAGCAUCUGUCAUUUUUUGACUUUUUCAUAAUAGCCAUUCUGACUGGUGUGAGAUGGUGUCUCACUGUGCCUUGGAUUUGCAUUUCUCUAAUGAUCAGUGAUACUGAGCUUUGUAUUCUAUGGUUGUUGGUCACAUGUAUGUAUUCUUUUGAAAAGCAUUCAUGUCCUUUGCCCACUUUUUAAACAUUUUUUUAUUUCCAUAGGUUUUAGGACAACAGGUGGCAUUUGGUUACAUUAGUAAGUUCUUUAUUGAUUUGUAAGAUUUUGGUGCAUCCAUCAACUCAUCUGUAUA